rnacentral:rRNA from 1 species
UGCAGUCGAACGCGACGCACCUUCGGGUGUUAGUAGAGUGGCGGACGGGUGAGUAACACUUGGGAAUCUGCCUAGUAGUGGGGGAUAACUCGGGGAAACUCGAGCUAAUACCGCAUACGCCCUACGGGGGAAAGAUUUAUCGCUAUUAGAUGAGCCCAAGUCAGAUUAGCUAGUUGGUAGGGUAAAGGCCUACCAAGGCGACGAUCUGUAGCUGGUCUGAGAGGACGAACAGCCACACUGGGACUGAGACACGGCCCAGACUCCUACGGGAGGCAGCAGUGGGGAAUAUUGGACAAUGGGCGAAAGCCUGAUCCAGCAAUGCCGCGUGUGUGAAGAAGGCCUGCGGGUUGUAAAGCACUUUCAGUUGGGAAGAUGAUGACGUUACCAACAGAAGAAGCACCGGCUAACUCCGUGCCAGCAGCCGCGUAAUACG